rnacentral:rRNA from 1 species
GUACCUACGGGACGCAGCAGUGAGGAAUAUUGGUCAAUGGGCGCGAGCCUGAACCAGCCAAGUCGCGUGAGGGAAGACGGUCCUAUGGAUUGUAAACCUCUUUUGUCGGGGAGCAAAAGACGCCACGUGUGGCGUUCCGAGAGUACCCGAAGAAAAAGCAUCGGCUAACUCCGUGCCAGCAGCCGCGGUAAUACGGAGGAGGCGAGCGUUAUCCGGAUUUAUGGGGUGUAAAGGGUGCGCAGGCGGAAGAUCAGGUCAGCGGUAGAAUUGAGAGGCGCAACCUCUUCGAGCCGUUG